AGGAAGAAAGCAAGGAAAAGACAAUGGUUAUCUAAAGCUUGACUUGUACGAGAAUUAUGUUAUCUAAAGUUGGGUUACUGCAUAUUUACCUCACUAGCAAUCUAAUUUCAUGCUUUGUUGUUGGUUGGGAAUUGCGGGGAUCAGCUGUGUAUAAGGAUACUGCCGCGAAUGCUGGUCUACCCGUUUGGAGAUUCAAGUUUAUACAAGCAGUAUAGGCUCCGGCAGUUCUUGUAACUCUACUUGGUGCAUUGAAUAUAAUGGGGAUGACUAUUCUUGUUAUGGAUAAUCCUCUGGAAAGGUGCAGAACAAAUUAGGGGGUUGGAAAAAUAAUUGAAAGAGUACCAUCUGAUGUUCCCAAGUUCAUAAGGAGAGAUAUUUUCCACAUUUGACUUACUUGAAUCAAAGUUCAUACU